AUUUUUGGCAGAUGUCAGCUGGUCAGCCCGACCAGUUCGUUACCUUCUCCCUGAAAGAAACAUCUUGUUCGACCCUUCCCAUCCAGUCCGUAUCAGUUAAUAAACCCCAUAUUCAUUUUCUCACCUUCUCCUUAACAACAGUUUUAAGGGUUGGCUUUAGGUCACUUCCGUGUCUCCCUAGUAACCAAGCACGAAAUGUGGCCGGAAGAGACCCUGAUCACGUGAUCCACUGACUUCCGGAUUUUAAUCGUGACUUCCGGUUGUCAGAAUUCCCCAGACGCGGCUGCCCAGCGGGGAAAACUGUGCGGCCCUAGGUCGCCGUGGCCCUCGCGGCGGUGGGCUUGGGGUGGGCUCGCCUCAUCCUGCCCCGGUUAUGAUGCAUCCGCGGCGCCCAGACGGAUUCGAUGGCUUGGGCUACCGGGGUGGUGCCCGGGACGAGCAGGGCUUUGGCGUCGCUUUCCCUGCAAGGUCCUUCAGCUCCGGGUCGGACCUAGGCCACUGGGUGACGACUCCCCCGGACAUCCCGGGCAGCCGCAACCUGCACUGGGGUGAGAAGAGCCCUGCCUACAGCGUGCCCUCCACCUCCACCCCGUACGAGGGCCCGGCCGAGGAACCCUUUCCCAGCGGCGGCGGCGGCGGCGGAGCCGUGCAGGGGCAGAGCAGUGAACAGUUGAAUAGAUUUGCUGGAUUUGGUAUUGGACUUGCAAGUCUCUUCACAGAAAAUGUACUGGCCCAUCCUUGCAUUGUUCUACGCCGCCAAUGUCAGGUAAAUAAAAUUCUCUUGACAGUCCUGAUCCUGAUGUGCAAAAUUCAAGUAAAUAACAUGAAAACAUGUAACCAUUUCUCCAUGUGAAAUGUACCAAAAUCUUUAAUAUAUCAUUUUCAAACUUUUUGAAAUGGAAACCUCAUUAAUGUCUUAGCAAUUAUUGAGAAUCCCAAUGACCUUUGCAUUAUGUGGGUCAUAUUUGUUGAUAUUUGCCACAUCAAAAGUUAAAACUGGGGAAAUUUUAAUGUGUUAAUUUAAUUUAUCAAAAUAAACACUUUAGAUGCUAACAAUGGCCGAUUUAUGAAAAUAACAUUUUAUGGUUUGCAGAUUUUUUAGCCAUCAUCUCUGCUCCUGCAGUCAAUCUAUUGAAAGAUGUUGUGUUUUAAAAGAAACAAGUUCAGCUUUGUCCAUAUAUGUAGUUGAAGCCUAGAGUAUAUAUCCUUUUCAGAUAACUGGGAAUUUUUUGAAAUUACACCAAAACUCACUAAAGGUUAUUUGCAAUGUGAAACCUAAAACCACAUGAAUAUUUUAUACUUUACCUUAAAAAAGACAUUGAUUUAAAUGUCUUGAAUGGUUAUUUUUACCAUGCAUUGGUUAAGAGUAUUGAUUUGCCAAGACAUAUAAAUCUUCCAGAUGUUAAAAGUAUUUGAUUAUACAGUAUCAAAAAUAUCAUCUUCACUGAAAGUACAACUGAUUUCACCAGAAAAGUCUGAAUUAUUAUAUGCUUUUGAUGAUAGAUACAAAUUUCCAAAAAUUAUGUUACUUGAAAAAUCCAAAUUUAUUAACAAAAAAUACUGAAACUUAUGUGUUUUUCAAUCAGCAAGCUAACUUUGUUCGUUUGCCAGAACAUGUCUCUCUGAAAUAUGAAUAACUAUAGUCUGCCAGUGAGUUUUUUAAGCAAAAAUGGUAUUCCAUGAAAAAAGUGCCUAUGUCACCUUGCAAUUCCAACUUGGAAGAGCUUUCCCUCAUGACAGCAUCUUAUUUCCUAGUAUUAGUUCCUAGCACACAAGAUAUUGAAAGAAGAUAUGCACUCAGGGUCAAGAUUUCAUAAAAUAAGCAUUUUUUUAUGCUUCAUCAAGGAUAUUCUUAAAUGAUUACUUUUGCUCCGUGUGAAUAUGCGGGGUGAAGGACACAAUAAAUAAAAAAUGUAUAUAAUUUGAUGCAACUGCUUUAGUUGUGAGCUAACAGUUUUACAUCACCUCUGCUUUUGCACCAUUAGUCAAAAUAUCAACACAGAGAGAUACCUUAGCAUCAGUAAGAAUAAAUAUAAUUUUGAACUUCUUAAUCUUCUAAUAGAGUAAAGGUCCUGGAGAACCAGUGACCCACAAUGUGGCAAAUACUGCUAUCAUGUAAUUUGCCUUUUUCCAAAAUAAUUUAUCCCAUAUGUGUUUGCUAUUAGAGUUCAAAACAAUAUAAAUCUUUUCCAUUUUUUUAUAGCACUGAAAAAUAAGCGUAUAAAGACAAAAGAGCAUACCAUUGGCAGUAUAUAUCCCCCUGAACAGUAUAUUACAAACAUACAUAUUUUACAUAGUGAUAAUAGUACAUUGUGAUCCAGUGUGUAUUGUUUUGACUCUUUUAACUGAUUUCAUAAUUUACUCAUUGAUUGCAACACAUACAGGACUUUGAAAAAUGGCUGCCUAAAGGGAGCAUGAGUAGAGAGAUAUAAUAGCAGUGUUUUAGAAGAUACAAAUAUCAAAUAACAAGACCUUUCUUAUUAUGUUAUCUACAUGACUCUGUAUAUUAUGCAUUCAUCUUCAUGUUAUAUUUAUCUAAUAAUGUAUGUUAUAUUUUGAAAGACUUAAAGCACUCAAAAUUAAUUUUGCUUAUGUAUAACUUAAGUUGAGUUUAGAAUUUAACUUUUUUAUGCCACAACAUUUUUCAUGGCUUCAUUAUUUCUUGACAAAGCAACAGAAAAAAAUACGUAAUAUCUUUUUUGCAGGUUAAUUACCAUGCUCGGCAUUAUCAUCUCACUCCAUUUACAGUCAUCAACAUUAUGUAUAGCUUCAACAAAACUCAGGUGAGAAUUAGUCUGUGGAUCUAUUAAAGCUAUAUAUAAUUGUCGUUUGGGCUUGGUAAUCAUUAAAGUAAGAAUAAUUUCUUCAAUUUGGUUAGCAAAAAUAUCUUAACUUAUAGUAAACC
rnacentral:lncRNA from 1 species